UACGGGGGGGGGGGCAAGCGUUGUUCGGAAUUACUGGGCGUAAAGGGCUCGUAGGCGGCCAACUAAGUCGGACGUGAAAUCCCUCGGCUUAACCGGGGAACUGCGUCCGAUACUGGAUGGCUUGAGGUUGGGAGAGGGAUGCGGAAUUCCAGGUGUAGCGGUGAAAUGCGUAGAUAUCUGGAGGAACACCGGUGGCGAAGGCGGCAUCCUGGACCAAUUCUGACGCUGAGUGAGCGAAAGCCAGGGGAGCAAACGGG
rnacentral:rRNA from 1 species